CAGCUGAGAUAGUUUGCUAUAAAUAAAUUCUGAACUUACUAAAAUGUGUCUUUCUCUGUGUAAAAAUAAUAUUAGGAAAUUUCCUCUGGAGUGCGUAUAUUGGUCACACACACACACACACACACACACACACACACACACACACAGUAGCCUACAGAUCACACAUAUGCUCGUCAUACACCUGAUAGAUAACCUGCGUAUUAUUGUCCAGAUCCAGAUAGUAAAUUUUGUAUGUAAAUGAAAAUGUGAUUGAUUGAUUGACAGUUUAUUGUUGCAAGUAAACAACAAAGGAGAAGGGAGGAACAUGCCAUCCCAACCCCCAGACAGUACAGAGUGUGAUUAUACAACUAAGGAUACAUGUGGAAGUAGCACCAGGAAACUAAAAAGAUGGAGACAAGUGCUAAAAAAAAAUAAAGGCCUUGAUUUAGUUUAGAUGGUCUUGCUAUUACCAUUCAAAGCAGAAGAGGUCAGAAGAAGAAGAAGAAGACCAAGGAACCAAAACAAACACUGUCAAAUUAAGCGGAACAAGUCAAAAGAAGACCAAGACCAAGGAGGAACCAGAACAAUCACUGUCAUAGCGGAACAGGUCAAGAGAAGAAGACCAAGACCAAGGAGGAACCAAAACAAACACUGUCAAAGCGGAACAGGUCAAGAGAAGAAGACCAAGACCAAGGAGGAACCAAAACAAACACUGUGCCGUUACAAAGGCAAAACUCCCGACCGACUUCUACUGUCAAAGCGGAACAGGUCAAAAGAUGAAGACCAAGACCAAGGAGGAACCAAAACAAACAGCGGCGGGAGACUUGAGCGGCCAGCAGGGACGAACGUACUAGCCCCAUAAAGCACCCAAGAAGAAGAAGAAGUGACUCAUAUCGCACCCGCACUGGUUUGUCACUGCUUGUCUUGAGUCAGUAUGAAGUAUUGCACCAUAAAGCUACAUGGCAGAGGCCGGAGUAAGACAGUGUAGUGCAGGAGCGCGGCCACGGUGUCUUUGCCAACCUCGCCACCAGCACUAAGCCUUGGCCUCUUGCAGUUUCCCUAUGUUCUUAUGUUCUUAUGUUCUUACCGCAAAUGUGAAAGAAAGUUGAGCCUCAAACUAACUAACUAAGGAGAAGCAUACCAUACUCCCGGGGUGCGUCGCUUCACUCACUCGCCGCCUGUUUCCUUUUCCGUAAAAAAAAAAAAAAAGCUUGAAGGCAUUUACUGAUUAAUUACGUACUUGAUUUAGCUUAGGAAACCCAUUACUCAUGCGAUACCGAUUGUACAUUGGUGUCUUUGAUGAUAAGAGAUUUAGUCUUCACCAUUCGAAAACCCCACUAUUCCAGAAUUGCACCCAUCUCACUGCAAGGGUCAUAACGACAUCCUCAAGCGGCUUCUGAGGCUUCCUAGAUGGAAUAGCUCAUUCCUGGCCUUCACCGGGCAAGGGAUGAACUGUCUGGCUGUGCUGUGUCACCAUGCUGCGUACAGUAUGAGGAGUAGAGUGGAACAAUCUGGGAACUCCAUCAUCACCUCCAUCAGACAGAGCUCGGCCUAUAUAUGCGAAUCUAUGCGGCGGGAGUGGCUGGGUCUUCUGUUUGUGUAGAUUGUGCAUAAGUGUGCCGUGCACAUGCAUAUAUAAUUAUAAGUUGUCAAUUAUUUAAGCAUUAUGUAUCUCAGUCGAUCUCAUUCGUUUUCUUGUCCUGUUUUUUUAUAUAUGCCACUGGGCAAAAUAAAACUAUUAUUAUUAUUA